AGUUGAAUAGUCAAGAAUGAUUUAAAAUUGCAAAUUUUAAGGUAAUAUAUAAUAUUUUUAACUU
rnacentral:tRNA from 1 species